UUCAAAAGUUAUACUUGGGCAAGUGGGUGGAGGAGUUAGGAAAAUUAAAAGAGGGAUGCUUAGGUGAGCAGGUACCUGCACUGCCGCCAACCCAGGCUUCAAUUCUGGCUCUCUUGUAGCGGAAAGCCUUAAAAAACGCGAGUUUGGGGAUCCUGAAAAAAAGUAAAUAGGGUUGCUGGGCUGAAUAACAUCCCUCCUCUCAGGCUCCUGCUGAAAGGGCCAUUCAUGAUUUGCCUGGUUGAGCCUGUGGCGACUUUAUUCUGACGAAUCUGCCUUUGCCAGCAGCAUAACCUUGCCAAGUUGGCGUCUUGACCAGCAAGCAACUGUGCCCAAGGAAGCCUCUCUGUGGUGCCUCAGACCUGAGAGGCCGAGUGCCUUUGAGCGCCUGAGGUAGAUUGUGAGUUUCAUGAAAACCGAGAAAGUCUAAGUGUGCAUGUGCGUAAGAUAUUUUAUAUAUAUAUAUCUCAUAUAUAUAUGAGAUAUGUCUAUAUAACGUGGACUGAAUUGUUUAUUGUUUAUGUUUCGUGUCGAGCAUAAAUUCCAGAAGCUAAGAUGCUUCCAUAGCACACAAACGUUAUGCGUUUAAACGUUGGAAAUCAAAAAUGCCAUGUCAGGUCAUUCUGUCCUUGUUCCAAAGUGAGAUUCAGAAAUAGGUUGGGAUUUUCUGCCCUUAGAUAAGAAAACGGAAAUUAUAUUUUACUGUAUAUGUUAUCAGUUAAUGAUAAAUUAAAAAACUAAUAUACACUGCUGUUAUUGUAAAAUCCAUAUGCUCAAGAAUGUUCAUGGAUGGAGAGAUCUUCAAAUGCCAUUUCAAAAAAGAAAAUGCACUUUUCUUCUUUGCAGAUUAGGAAUUUGAACAUAUUCCCUGUGCAAAAUGCAGGGAAUAUUUUCACAGCCUUUGUACCUGAUUACCAUACUCUCUAUUUAUUUCUUAUUUAAAUUGCACUAGAAAACCUAAAGUAAAUGAAAUGUAACAUAAUAAAGAAAAGAGAAUUUAGACAUUUACUUUAAAAGCUUUAUUUCUCAAAGGUCAAGCUUCAGUUUCAAGCUACUGUUUGAUGAUGCAUAUGUAAAUUCUUGGUAAAAACUUGAUCAUUAGCAAUUAAAACAACUUUUUUCUUUUAUUAUAUAAAAAUGUUUAAAAUUGUUUCACCACAUCCUUGUCCUUAAAAUGGUGUAAACUGACCAUUGUGUAAGGUUUUUGUCAGAUUUUUGGAUAGAAAAGGAGUAUAUAUUAUGUGUAGAUAUGUCCAUGUUUAUUGUUUCUCUAAUCUAUCUAUUUUUGUCCACAUUAAAUACUGAUUAUUGAAUUUCUCACAGCUCUACACAGUAAGGGUGUUCCAUAAUGUAAAACAAGUUUAUUCAAUCAUCAUAUGAAUAGUUGAAAUACACUUUUGGAGUUUGAAAUGAUAAAAGCAAGAAAUCAGUGAGGUUCAUUUCACCGCCCCACCCCACUUUUCCUUUUUUUAAUGCUCCCACCUUUAAUUGUUAACAUUAUUGGCUAAGUGGUUGAAUAAAUGAAUAAUGAAAACAUUUGCUACUUCUCUUUAAGGAAGGAUGCAUAUUUUCCAUAUUUAAUGUAUCCUUCAAGCUCCCAUUCAGAUUAAACAAGAUUCUCCCUAUCAUCUUUAGUUUAUAGAAUGUUGAAUGGGACAGCAUAGCCUGCAGUGAGAAAGUUUCAGCCAAUGUGGAGUAUGGUAUUAAAAUUCCCUCAUUAUUUCUGUGGACUAUAUAUAUCAGUAUUCUCAAUUGUUAUUUUUUUCAGAAAUACUUGUUAUAAUUAUUCACCCCAUAUAACUUUAUUGGAAAAUAUAAACAACCAUAUGUGAGAUAUUAUAUAAGUUUUGUAAUCAUUCACCAUUAACUCUGGGAUCAGACUUCCUAGAAUUUGAAGAAGAAAUUAAUGAAAUCAAACGUAACUUAAUAGUAGUAGUAAUAGAAAUUUUAAAAUCCUCUUAAAGUUUCUGCAAAGUGUGAUCCCUGCCCCCUUACACUCAAGUUAAAGGAGAAUGUUAACAGCCUGUCCUGUCUCUGUGGACAGUGGACCUUAUCUAUACUCCCCAACUCCAAAUUACUCAAGUUUAUUACAGGCCAGCAAGCUCCUGCACAGCUGCAGUCACAAGACCAAUAAGUUUAGGUUGCAAGACAUGUUUUUCUCAAGAUGUAAGAAAUGUUGUAAUGCUUGAUUAACUGCCUUUGUUUCUCGCUUCUGUAACUUGCUUCCCACCUCAUGUAGUUCCUGCCUUAAAAUGUUUAAAAGUAGGAAAAGCCCUUAGUUUGGGGCUCAUACUUUCUGGACAUAUGUCCGGCUGGGCCGGUGAUCACCUUAAUAGACUCUCCUGAACCUUUUUCAGUCUCUCCAGUCUUUGAUUGUCUUGUAACAUUUCUGGGGGCUCAUCCGGGAUUGGAGAGGGAACAUUUUCUGUCUCCUUUGCCUGUGGGCUACAGCCCCAGGACAUGGGAGAUCUGGGGUCCUUGGCACCACCAGGAGAGUUUCAGCCCAGAAGGAGAACUGCCCUCCCGCGUUCUGGGGCCUUCCCCCGACAGCACAAAUGGAACCAGUGGAAGGGGUUGCAGGAUGGUCACGGGAGCAGCGCACAGCCAUCUGAACCACGAUUGUACAACAAAUAAUGAAUGGAAAACUCUAAAGGGUAUUUAAACCCCAGAAAACGGAUUAAUGAAGCCACUGCUUAGUUAAAGACCAUCAAGCUUCAGAUGAUCAUGCAACAAGUGUUCCAGCCAGUUCCGGGUGAAGUCACCACCUGUGGCCAUCAAGGAACUACCCUGACUCCACUAGACAGGGCAGGGCAAGAGUUUCAUGAUCCCCAAUAGGUAGGUACUAUACCCCAAGCCAGCAUGAAGCUGUUACAGAAGGAAGACCAUCAGUUUUUCCAUCUUCCAUAAAGAUUUAUGGGGAUCACAUCUCUCAGGGGGAAAAAGAGGCAGGAGAUUAGGGUCUGGAGGCAGAGAACAUAAGGUCAAUUCACAAUGACUUCCUAAAACUGAUUUAAAUGGAAACAGUUUUGAUUUACAUGGAAACCCUUCAGCUAAGACAGGAAAUACCUUCUUCAUUUACAUAGGGCAUACACCAAGUAAAUGACUUUGUAAUUUUACUUCAUCCUCUUCAUUUACAUAGGUUGUACAACAAGUAAACAAUGGAAAAUUCUAGAGGACAUUUAAACCCCAGAAAAUUCUGUAAUGGGUCUCUUGAGCCCCUGUGCUUAGGCCUGCUCCCACCCUGUGGAAUGUACUUUUUUUUUUCUUUUCUUUUUUUUUUUUUUUUUUGAGACAGAGUCUCGCUCUGUCACCCAGGCUGGAGUGCAGUGGCACAAUCUCGGCUCACUGACUGCAAGCUCUGCCUCCCAGGUUCACAGCAUUCUCCUGCCUCAACC
rnacentral:lncRNA from 1 species